rnacentral:rRNA from 1 species
UACGUAGGGAGCAAGCGUUGUCCGGAAUCAUUGGGCGUAAAGCGCGCGUAGGUGGCCACAUAAGUCCGUUGUGAAAGUCAAAGGCUCAACCUUUGAAAGCCGAUGGAUACUGUGUGGCUAGAGUACGGAAGAGGCGAGUGGAAUUCCUGGUGUAGCGGUGGAAUGCGCAGAUAUCAGGAAGAACACCAACGGCGAAGGCAGCUCGCUGGGACGGUACUGACGCUGAGACGCGAAAGCGUGGGGAGCGAACAGG